GCGUAACGCGUGAGCAACAUGCCCGUAUCAGGGGGAUAAUCCAUGGAAACGUGGUCUAAUACCCCAUAGUAAUUAUGUAAGGCAUCUUAUAUAAUUUAAAGCUUUGGUGGAUACGGAUUGGCCCGCGUGACAUUAGCUGGAUGGUAAGGUAACGGCGUUACCAUGGCUACGAUGUCUAGGGGUUCUGAGAGGAAGGUCCCCCACACUGGAACUGAGACACGGGUCCAGACUCCUACGGGAGGCAGCAGUGAGGAAUAUUGGACAAUGGAUGGAAAUCUGAUCCAGCCAUGCCGCGUGCAAGGAAGACGGCCCUAUGGGUUGUAAACUGCUUUUGUAUGGGAGCAAUAAGGGCUACGUGUAGUCCGAUGAGAGUACCAUACGAAUAAGCACCGGCUAACUCCGUGCCAGCAGCAGC
rnacentral:rRNA from 1 species